rnacentral:rRNA from 1 species
CCUACGGGAGGCUGCAGUAGGGAAUCUUCCACAAUGGGCGAAAGCCUGAUGGAGCAACGCCGCGUGGGUGAAGAAGGUCUUCGGAUCGUAAAACCCUGUUGUUAGAGAAGAAAGUGCGUGAGAGUAACUGUUCACGUGUCGACGGUAUCGAACCAGAAAGCCACGGCUAACUACGUGCCAGCAGCCGCGGUAAUACGUAGGUGGCAAGCGGUAUCCGGAUUUAUUGGGCGGGAAGGGAACGCAGGCGGUCUUUUCAGUCUGAUGUUCAAGCCUUCGGCUUAACCGGAGUAGUGCAUUGGAAACUGGGAGACUUGCGUGCAGAAGAGGAGACUGGGACUCCAUGUGUAGCGGUGAAAUGCGUAGAUAUAUGGAAGAACACCAGUGGCGAAAGCGACUCUCUGGGCUGUAACUGACG